ACAAUUGUGAUGACGAAGGGGACAUAUGUAAAAACUAGAAUGUGUAGAUAUUUGUCAUUUUCAGAAGGAAAACAGGAUGAGCUCAAACCACUAAGACUUCCUCAGACCACGUGCUUAAACAUAACGGAAGUACAUUCGACGGCUCCCUGUCCAUGUUGAAGUACAGCAACGAUGAAACUCCAAAUCCUCCUUGCUCUAUUCCUCCGAGAGACACUAGGUGAAUCCCACAGGACAGUCAUUGGGUACAUUGGGGAGAACGUCACCUUGAGCUCAGGAGCCAACCCGAAAUGGACUCUUUCCAUAAUCGAGUGGACAAUAUACACGAACAACACCUGGAUCGCCACCUUAAAUAACGGGUUAUUAAAAGUCGAAUGGGUCGACCGAUACAAAGGGAGACUCACUCUGAACAGCUCCUCAGGUGACUUAAUGAUCCAUGGUUUGACUUCAGAGGAUGCCAUGCAGUACAAUGUAGACCUUACCAAUACUGAGCAACAGAACAUCGCAUACAAGGUGGAUCUCCUAUUGAAACAGCGCCUCAAGAAACCAACGCUAGAGAGGACACUUCUUUCAGCUGCAAAAGAAGGCUGUCAGUGGCAGCUGAAUUGCUCCUCUGCGGAUAAAGUCGAUCGCUUCGUCUGGCACGCUGAAACUCCAUAUAUGACUUUCAACAACGGCAGCUAUACAGUUCUUCUUACCUUUCUCAACAGCACACAGAGCCAGGUGGAAUUCAAGUGCACCUCCUUCAGGAAAUCGGAGAACGCCUCGGAAGUUGACACUUUAGAAUGUGAAUAUUGUUUGUGCUCUUACAGAUUACAAGCCCGCAAGGGAUCAUAAUCUUGCUCUGUUUACUGGGGGAAGCGCCCUGGGAGUUUUCCUGGUAUUCCUUUUGAUGAUCUCUCAGACAGCUCAACAACAACGAACCGGAUUGGCUUUGGCUGAAGAUGCCCUCACUGCAUGAUGUGUGUAGUACAUGGAUGUUAGCGUGUAAAACUUUAAAAACGGGUUAGGAAUGUUCAAGGUCGGUGAUGUGAUCCUUUGGUGAGACACUGUACCCCAGAUUGUUCAAAUAUAACGCUGUAAUGAAUGAACACCGUGCAAGCUAACGCAAAGUCCAAAGACCAGCACCGAUACACACCACAUGAAUAUAUGUGAAGCUUUACUUUGGAAAGUGCUGCCGUUUGUUACAAAAGUGUUCAUUUGUAUGCAUACUAUGUCGCUAUAUGUAUAAUAGGUGUUAUUUAAGCAGUUAUGCACACAUUUGCUUUGAUUUUAAAGCUGUUUUAAACAUUUCAUUUCACAAAAAGGCAUUUUUCUUUAAAGAUAGAUCCUUGCACUAUUGUUUGUAUUGAACCAUUUUGAUUUGGCACUGUAACAUUAAUUUAAAGUUCAUCUAAAUGUGAAUAA